UUUCCGUAGGUGAACCUGCGGAAGGAUCAUUAUUGAAUAAACUUGGUUAAGUUGUUGCUGGCUCUUAGGAGCAUGUGCACGCUUAAUCCAUUUUUAUAACCACCUGUGCACCUUGUGUAGAUCUGAUAAACUCGAGGAAACUCGGUUUGAGAAUCGCUGCGCGCAAGCCAGCUCUUCUUAUCUUCAGAUCUAUGUUUUCACAUACCCCAUAGAAUGUAUUCGAAUGUCGUAAUCGGCCUUCGUGCCUUUAAAAUCUAAUACAACUUUCAACAACGGAUCUCUUGGCUCUC
rnacentral:misc_RNA from 1 species